GGGGGGGGGCUCGGGGGGCGCGUCCCAGCCCCGGCACCCGGCGGGACGGGAGCCUCCGGCGGGGCAUCGCCCUUUUAAGCAGUGGUCCCGUUGCCUCCCCCCCUCCCCGGCUCCUGGAGGGGCUCCGGCAGCCUCUGAGACCUCCGUCCGUCUGUCCGUCCGCCCGUCCGUCCGUCCCUCCUCCUCCUCCCCUCCCGCCCUGCCCGGCUGCCAGCGGCGGCUGCGCUCCGUGCUGCGGGCGGGGGCGCGGGGAGCCGCAGGGCGGCGGUGGGGCUCUCCCUGUCCCUCUGUCGCCGUGUCCCCGUGUCCCCGUGUCCCUGUCCGUGUGUCUGUCCCUCUCCCUCUGUCCCUGUCCCUGCCCCGGGGCCGCGCUCCGGGACCAUGGGAUGCUGCACCGGGCGCUGCACCCUGAUUUUCCUCUGCGCUCUGCAGCUGCUUGCUGCAUUAGAGAGGCAAGUGUUUGAUUUCCUGGGAUACCAGUGGGCCCCCAUCCUAGCCAACUUCCUCCACAUCAUCAUCGUUAUCCUUGGCCUGUUUGGCACUAUUCAAUACAGACCUCGCUACAUAGUGGUGUAUGCCAUCUGGACUGCAAUUUGGGUCACCUGGAACAUCUUCAUCAUCUGUUUUUACUUAGAAGUGGGAGGGCUCUCAAAGGACAGCGAACUCUUGACAUUUAACAUCUCCCGGCACCAGUCGUGGUGGAGUGAAAAUGGUCCCGGCUGUGUGAGGAAGGAGGCUUCAAUGUCUGGCAUCAAAGGACUGGAUAGCCAUUCGUACGUCUCGGUGAUAGGCUGUGCCCUGGAGUACCGGUACAUCGAGGUCAUGCACAGCUCCUUCCAGAUCCUGAUCGCGCUGGUGGGCUUUGUCUACGCCUGUUAUGUUGUUAGUGUUUUUACAGAAGAAGAAGACAGCUUUGAUUUCAUUGGUGGAUUUGAUCCAUUUCCUCUCUACCAUGUCAAUGAAAAACCCACCAACCUUUUGUUCAAGCAGACAUACCUGUAGACUUCCCCCCCUUCCCCCCAACAAAAAAAAAAGCUGAAUAUCAACCUGAAUUUGCAAACUGUUUUGAUCAACCUGAAGCUGCAUAUUUAAGAGGCCUGCGUAAAUAAAGAAGAGCCAGAGUAUGGAUAAAUCUCGCACUCCAAAGGUGCUGCAGGAAACAAUCCCCUGUGGCCUGGAUCUACAGCAGAGGAAAUGCAGGAUGGAGAACUCCAUUCCAUUUUUUGUUCCUUGUCUUCUUUUCAUAUGCAAUGAAUGUACACCGAAGGAUGACCACGCAGUCUGUUCUUAACUCUACAAGUGCCCUGAUGAACCAUUCCUACCGUAGCCUGGUGGUACUCGCCAACAGAUGGCACCGGCCUGAAAACCUCAGGCAGAAGUUCACUAGGAGCCUCUCUCAAGAGAUACAGUAGAAGUUGGAGCUGCUUCCUUCUGCCACGGAUCCAUAGAGAAGGAAACACUAUAACACCCUGGGACAUCUCAUGUUUCGUAGUUAGUUUCUUCCCUUCUCCUUUCCCUUGUUCUGGAAAGAGCCUAAAUCCCUUAACACAACCUCAAGUCUUCCCUGCCUGUAUAGAACUAGGUAAGGGCUAUUUUUAUUUGAGUUGUUUAGGCUCCUUGCACACCCUCCACUUUUUUUUUAAGUUAUAGAUGAGAGGUCUUCCCCUUCUUCCCCUCACCCAGGACUCUCUUCCCCUGCUCUGCUCUUUAUCAGUUAUUCACUCCUUAGUAGUAAGAACUCGUCCUGAUUUCAGUGUUCUGUGACUUAAAUGCUAUAAGUGCUAAACAGCUAAAAAACUAGUACAAGCACCAAAUCUUUACUCAGCACAGAGCUUACCCCAUUUCCACAUGCCAAGCCAUUCUCAGAGCAGCUGUAGCUUACUCUGGGUUUGCCCAUCCACAUUAAAUUAACACUGGUGUAACUGUAUGCACAACUGAUACCUGCUGCAGGACCCUGGAAAACCCCCCUAAUUCCUCCUGGAUCACAUUUUUGUUCCUGCUUUGUUCACCACACAGCCACGCUUCGGGCACAGGCCCAACAGCUUCCUGCUGGAAGGUAUUUCUGUGAUAGGAUAAUUUUGAGGGGAGGGAACAGGGACAAGGAAAGGGGCAAUAUAACUGUAAUUAAGUUGCAUUAAUGAGUUGCAGCAACUAAAAAACAUGUCAGUUUUGUUAACUAAAUCUCCCAGCAUGUUAAGUGUCAAGCAGAGAGAGUGCUUGUCCAGCCAUUCAUGGCAUUCUUUGGCUGGUACAUUCCACAUGCUGUUGUAAUUCUUUGUCUUGCCUAGUCUAAGGUUCCUUGGGAUUUCUGAACAAUGCUUCACAGAAGAGUCAAGCCAGAAGCCAUGCUAGGGAAGGGAAGUGUGACGGGAGGAUGAAAAGAAAUAAAAACAUUAAGUGCUAAAGUCA